UACGGAGGGUGCAAGCGUUAUCCGGAAUUACUGGGCGUAAAGGGCUCGUAGGCGGCCAACUAAGUCAGACGUGAAAUCCCUCGGCUUAACCGGGGAACUGCAUCUGAUACUGGAUGGCUCGAGUUUGGGAGAGGGAUGCGGAAUUCCAGGUGUAGCGGUGAAAUGCGUAGAUAUCUGGAGGAACACCGGUGGCGAAGGCGGCAUCCUGGACCAACACUGACGCUGAGGAGCGAAAGCCAGGGGAGCAAACGGG
rnacentral:rRNA from 1 species